rnacentral:rRNA from 1 species
CAAGGCUGAAACUCAAAGGAAUUGACGGGGACCCGCACAAGCGGUGGAGCAUGUGGUUUAAUUGGAAGCAACGCGAAGAACCUUACCAACUCUUGACAUCCCCCUGACCGGUACAGAGAUGUACCUUCCCCUUCGGGGGCAGGGGUGACAGGUGGUGCAUGGUUGUCGUCAGCUCGUGUCGUGAGAUGUUGGGUUAAGUCCCGCAACGAGCGCAACCCUUGUCCUUAGUUGCCAGCAUUCAGUUGGGCACUCUAGGGAGACUGCCGGUGACAAACCGGAGGAAGGUGGGGAGGACGUCAAAUCAUCAUGCCCCUUAUGAGUUGGGCUACACACGUGCUACAAUGGACGGUACAAAGGGCAGGGAAGCCGCGAGGUGGAGCCAAUCCCAGAAAGCCGUUCUCAGUUCGGAUUGCAGGCUGCAACUCGCCUGCAUGAAGUCGGAAUCGCUAGUAAUCGCAGGUCAGCAUACUGCGGUGAAUACGUUCCCGGGUCUUGUACACACCGCCCGUCACACCACGAGAGUUUGCAACACCCGAAGUCGGU